ACUAAACCCCCAAACUCAUCUCCCUCAUUUUCUCUCUCUCCUCUCGUGUCUUCUGUUCAAGGACCCAAGCCACUGCUUCCUCCUUCCUCUCUUCGUGUCAUCCAAUUUUCAGUGCCACCCAACUACUUCAUGUGAUUCAUCCUUUCACAUUCCAAUUCUUCAGUUAAUUAAGGAGAAAACCUCCAUAAUUCUCUAAAAUCAUUUCACUCUCCCGAGAAACCUCAAACCCCAUCUUGUGCGAAAUUCCAACUCCAUUCGUGUCUUUCUCCUCUAUUCGUCGGCGUCUUAAGUUCACCGGAACCCCGCCGUUUCCUCGCCGGAGAUCUGUGCUGCAGUCCCCCCCCCCUCGCGAUGCUGCUGCUGUGGUUCUUCUUCCCUCGCGUGCUUCGUCCGCUGCUCGGCUUCGCCACCGCACCGGAGCGUUGAUACCGGCGAACGCCUCCUGCCUUCUGCGUUAUCUCGCCGGAGUUCAACUUGUCCUUUUCUGUCUUCUGUACUCGUGGUGGUGGUAGUGCUGCCACAGGGCAGCCCUCUUGUCGUUUUCCUAAAUGUUUCAGGUUGAAGCCGAAAGUUAACCUUUGCAAGUUGAAGCUGAUACAAGCUGGAGUAGUAUUAUAGUUGCUAUCGAAGUGAGGACGCUUGACUUUGUAAUAGUUAGUUGUUUAUAAUCUAUAGUUAUUUCUACAUUUAAGAGUCGCUAGUUUAGUGCUCCUGAUUCUCUAUUGGUUGUUGCUCCGCGAAAGCGUUGAGAUUGUUGAGCUUUGGGAUUUGGAUAUAUUUUAUAAAUUGAAUUUGCAAACAGGUUUAUAUCAUUUUUCGCUUUAGCGUUGUCCUGUUUUCAAAGGAAACUCUGCCGGAUUUUCUGUAGAAAUUUAUGGGAAUAGAGUCUGAGAAUCAGAGCGUAGUUAUAAUAGUUUAAUUUAUUUGAAUAGAGUUGGGAUUGAGUUCCACACUCUCCGAUUUAGUUCGGUGAGUGUGAUGGUAAUAGUCCGGGUUACCUUGACUGGAGUUUCUUUCGCUGUGCUUAAUCCUUUGUAAGCUGGUCGGGAAAUUCGGGCUGUUACAAUAUGUCUUUUAAUGUUCCCAUUAGUGGGGGAUGUUGAACCCUAGUUUUGAUGAUGACAAAGAAACAAAGAUGCAAA